ACCAUUUUCAAUAAUAAUAUCCUCAACAUACGAAGUAAGAUAAGUUUUCCGGGAAACAAAAGGUUACUUCAACAUACGAAGUAAGAGUUAGAAAAUUCUUCCAUGAAUCACAAAAAGGGUUAACAAACAUCCAGUCGCUGAUAAAUUGUUCACGCACCCUGGUUUCCAAGGCUCAGUACAAUCAACCAUGUUUCACUGCAACAGAAUCUGAACAUUUAUAAUUACCAAUAUACAAAGGACAACUCAACACAGCUUAACGAACCUCGACCACUGACAUAACAUAAUAGCCUAAAUCACAUUUGGUAACAGGACUUUACAACACAAAACAAUACAACUAGAGGCUCCAGAAAGUCUCGUUAACAUUCCUGCUCUUCUUCACUGGGAUCCUCCUGGCCCCAAUAACGGGCAAGUACAUCAUUCAAUUUACAGUAGCAAAAGCAAAAACUCGACAAUAACGGAACACCCCGAAAUGAUUAGAUAACAACAAAGGGAAUAUUUCUCUCACAAACCACAACACUUAAGCCCCUCUUAUAUCUCCAGAAUAUUAAAAACCUCUCACCAUAAUAAAACCUCCAAACUAAAAGAGAGAAACGAAAAAAGGAAAAAAAAAAAAAAAGCAAUCAUCGAUAACAGUACAGCAGGCCAUGACAAAAUUGGAUCAGUACUGCCGAGAGUUAUGGAUAUUGUAACUUAUCAUUCGUGGGAUACCAUCACAAAGCACACGGAGCAGCUUAGAAUGCAAAGCAGGAUUCAGAAAAAUACCAUUCAUUCAUUUUGAAAA